rnacentral:lncRNA from 1 species
CUAAAUCUUGCUAAAAUUGCUGAGAAAAUCAAUUUAAGCAGCGUAAUUGGGGGAAACAAAAACCUUAAACUGAGAAUUACGCUGUUUUUUAUUCAAAGCAAUAAGACCCAGUUCAAUCAAGAAGCCGAGCAAACGGAAGAGAAGAAGAAUCCAAGAACCGUGCGCAGAUCAAGAAACAAACACAAUACCUCUGGGGAAGCCGGCUUAAGUGGCUAUCAAGUUGAUUUAGGAGGUCGGGAUUCGAGGUGGCCUCCUCGUUCCCGCUCUCGAGUAGCCUCGAGUAGAUAUCGUGGAUGAUGUCGUGGCCGACGAAGGCCCUCGCCGGCGACGAGCUCUCGCCUUCCCCUUCCUCCAUCUCCGGCGACAAUCGAACUAGGAGCAGCCCAUCGAUUCCAAGAACUCCGCGCUCAAGCCAAGCUAGGGUUUUAGAGAGAGAAGGAGAGUGGAGAAAGAGAGAGAGAGGGCGAGGGGAUCUUUGACGGUUAAGAGAAUCCCCUCCUGAGAUAGAGGGUUAACAAUUUUAUAUAGCUGGCGGAAGACCGCUGCGAAUUAGGUGGGAA